rnacentral:lncRNA from 1 species
CCUUGAUAUUUCUGUCCCAUGUAUUUUAACAUCUUUAAAGUUUUUGCUGGUUAAAACUUCGUUAAUCUUCCAACAAUGUAUAGUUAUAAUAUGUACUUGGUAAUUAUGGAAUUUGAUUAUUCAAUUCACAUUUUGUGACUCUCUAAUCAGGCUCAAAUAGAUGAAGGAGUCCCUCUGAAGAUUUGCUUGUCUCAGUUCUGUAAAUGGAUUCAUAAAGUUCAGCAACAGAAGAACAUUUUUUUUACUCCUGAGGUUUCAGAGCCUUCUACUUCUGAAGUAAAAUUAUGUGCAUUUGUUACCUGGUCAGACUGGGACUUAGGUGUUUGCCUGGAAUAUGAGUGUAAAAGAAAACAGCUGUUAAAACCUGUGUUCUUAAAUUCUUGGAUUGAUCUCAGAGCGACUUACAAGGUAAGGAUCAAAAAUGACAUGGUCACUUUUCUUCUUCUGAAAAAUAAUUACAUUUUAUCCCUCACAUGGGUUUCCACAAAUAAAAUUUUUUUGUGUGUGAAUGGUCACAUAAUAUUCACUGUAAGAUGUUUUAAAACUACCCAACAAAAAAUAAGCACAUUCCAAAUUUAAUAGAAAUAAAAAUUACAAAAAAUAGACUCAUGCAUAGCCUUUCAAAUAGUGAUCAUAUUUUUAGAUAUGUCUUUCUUUAUUUGAUUAGCUUUUCUAUAGAAGAAAACCAAAAGGACUAAGUGGUGCCUUGCAGGAAGUGGGAAUAGAAUUCUCUGGACGAGAACAUUCAGGUUUGUCAAAAUUAAAAAUCAUUUUAUCAUGUAAGGCAGUUGACAUUUAUAAAAUCUUUCAUGUGAGUCCCAUCUCUUGGUAAUGCCAU